GAUGAACGCUGGCGGCGUGCCUAAUACAUGCAAGUCGAGCGAACGGACGAGAAGCUUGCUUCUCUGAUGUUAGCGGCGGACGGGUGAGUAACACGUGGAUAACCUACCUAUAAGACUGGGAUAACUUCGGGAAACCGGAGCUAAUACCGGAUAAUAUUUUGAACCGCAUGGUUCAAAAGUGAAAGACGGUCUUGCUGUCACUUAUAGAUGGAUCCGCGCUGCAUUAGCUAGUUGGUAAGGUAACGGCUUACCAAGGCAACGAUGCAUAGCCGACCUGAGAGGGUGAUCGGCCACACUGGAACUGAGACACGGUCCAGACUCCUACGGGAGGCAGCAGUAGGGAAUCUUCCGCAAUGGGCGAAAGCCUGACGGAGCAACGCCGCGUGAGUGAUGAAGGUCUUCGGAUCGUAAAACUCUGUUAUUAGGGAAGAACAUAUGUGUAAGUAACUGUGCACAUCUUGACGGUACCUAAUCAGAAAGCCACGGCUAACUACGUGCCAGCAGCCGCGGUAAUACGUAGGUGGCAAGCGUUAUCCGGAAUUAUUGGGCGUAAAGCGCGCGUAGGCGGUUUUUUAAGUCUGAUGUGAAAGCCCACGGCUCAACCGUGGAGGGUCAUUGGAAACUGGAAAACUUGAGUGCAGAAGAGGAAAGUGGAAUUCCAUGUGUAGCGGUGAAAUGCGCAGAGAUAUGGAGGAACACCAGUGGCGAAGGCGACUUUCUGGUCUGUAACUGACGCUGAUGUGCGAAAGCGUGGGGAUCAAACAGGAUUAGAUACCCUGGUAGUCCACGCCGUAAACGAUGAGUGCUAAGUGUUAGGGGGUUUCCGCCCCUUAGUGCUGCAGCUAACGCAUUAAGCACUCCGCCUGGGGAGUACGACCGCAAGGUUGAAACUCAAAGGAAUUGACGGGGACCCGCACAAGCGGUGGAGCAUGUGGUUUAAUUCGAAGCGACGCGAAGAACCUUACCAAAUCUUGACAUCCUUUGACAACUCUAGAGAUAGAGCCUUCCCCUUCGGGGGACAAAGUGACAGGUGGUGCAUGGUUGUCGUCAGCUCGUGUCGUGAGAUGUUGGGUUAAGUCCCGCAACGAGCGCAACCCUUAAGCUUAGUUGCCAUCAUUAAGUUGGGCACUCUAAGUUGACUGCCGGUGACAAACCGGAGGAAGGUGGGGAUGACGUCAAAUCAUCAUGCCCCUUAUGAUUUGGGCUACACACGUGCUACAAUGGACAAUACAAAGGGCAGCGAAACCGCGAGGUCAAGCAAAUCCCAUAAAGUUGUUCUCAGUUCGGAUUGUAGUCUGCAACUCGACUACAUGAAGCUGGAAUCGCUAGUAAUCGUAGAUCAGCAUGCUACGGUGAAUACGUUCCCGGGUCU
rnacentral:rRNA from 1 species